AGACAGCAAGCCAAGUGGGCAGAUGGGGACUUCUGUCCUCUACAAGCAGAAACCAACCACUACUGUCCCUUGCUACUUCCUCUUCUUGCUGAUGCGUGGUUCACGCGUGGCAUCAUGCUCUGAUACCUCCCCAGAUACAGCUUUCUGCCUCUCCUGCUACCAGGGCACCGUACCUAUUCUGCAACUGUGGACCUGUAGGUGGAGAAGGAACUGCUGUCCAUGUGCCAGAAGUCAUGUUAGUUAUUUUCAUCUCAUAAUUUCUAAUCACUAUUGCAUUCAGCAUCACACCAGCUUGUCUCCAGAUGCCAGGACUUUUAGGACACACUGAUUUGCUCUUCAUUUUUUGGUGUGACAGCUGUGCAUGGUGAUCCAGAACGUGGCUUGUCUUUUACGUCACUGUAGUCACUGCUGAAAUGCACUACCCGCAGCCUCCCUGUUCAGCAAGUACUGAUGAAUGUCAGUGAGUGCAAGUUUUUCCUCAUGGAGAAAUUCACUGACACGCUUUUGCUUCAUCCACACUCCCAAAUCAGACACCACUGCGUCAGACUGCCCCGCUGCUGCCAUCUGUCACACAGCAACCACGUGUAACAGAAUACUGGCGGGAAGGCUCAACCUCUACUGCCAUACCACCCAUAUUCGCCUCUGACAUCAUGGGCCAACAUCAUAAAAUAGGAAGCGUUACUUUCAGAGCUUCCCUCAGAGAUAGAAUCUUCAAGAUGAUUAACAUAAGAAAGGAGGCAGAUAACAGCAUGUCAGAGAAGAGUGAGGGCUGGCUGCUCCCUGAAGUACAGAGAUCCUGGAGUCAAGAGCAGUAGUACUGCCAAGAAGGUGCUGCUAUCGUUCGUUCCAAUACUUCUCCCUCCUGGAUUGGAAGUGGGAGAGGCUUUUGGCAGUCGUUGCCACUGAUGGCUUAUAGGAGGCCUCCUGAGAUUAUUCUUGAGGUAACUGCUGGCCCUUCCCAGGAAGUCAAGGGCACGUCUUCAUCAAGUUGCCUGUGGCCAUCUUUCCCACAGCAGUUACGAUAAACCAUGGAAUUCCAGCAACAGCGUACCACGCAGACAACAUCUCCAGUGCUCUGGAUUCUUCAGUUACAUAAGGCUGCAAGUGCUGAGCAACUGGGGCCACCCAGAGUACACCUGUGUGUAUCAGUUCAGGCUCCACAGUGAUCCAGCCCAUGACAGUGACGCUAGGGGAAAGCUAUGCGGUUUACUUCAGAAUAAAUAACUUUUCCCAUGUUGAGUUUCUUUUGUCCAUCACACUAACUGUUAAGAGAUCUCCCUGUCUUCAUCUUGACCCACGAGUUUUUUCAUCCCCUGUUCUCCUGCUCUCCUUUUUGGGAGGAGGAGGGAGUGAGUAGCUGGUGGGAGUUAGGCCCUUGUCUAAGGCUAGGCCAGCACAACCACAUAUUAGGCCAAAACCUGCACAGAAGUUGAGUGGACAGCCACAGUUAUUUCUGAGAGCGUUGAGGACAGGUACUUAUGCUGGGAAUAAUAAGCCUUUGUGCUUGUCCUUGUGGUCUCCGGGCUCCAGAAGAAUCAAAGAAUCAUUUAGGUUGCAAAAGACCUUCAACAUCACUGAGCCCAACUGUGUGCUUCUGUAUUUUUGUUACUUACUAAGUGGCCAACCUGGUCCUCUGGCAUGCAAGUCAAAAACUCCAGUGUGUGCAGCCACUUACUGAAGCCAUUCAGUACUCCAUGCUAUCCUUUUUUUUGUCCUGUGGUGCCCCAAACUGUACUCAGAGAUUGAGGUAGUGCCACACCACUGCAGUGUACUGAUUUGAAGAAAUCAAUGUGUAUGAACUUAACAGCAGCACUUUCUUACCAUUAAGCAAGGUAUUCUUUAUUGGCAGAGCUGGGAUGGCAUUGGGAUAACUCUUGAAGAAUGCUCACCAGCUGAUUGUUCAUGAACAGGUUAUGCUUUCAGAUGUAUUAG
ensembl:lncRNA